rnacentral:rRNA from 1 species
CUACGGGUUGCUGCAGUGAGGAAUAUUGCACAAUGGGGGGAACCCUGAUGCAGCAACGCCGCGUGGAGGAUGACGCAUUUCGGUGUGUAAACUCCUUUUAUAUGUCAAGAAAAUGACGGUAGCAUAUGAAUAAGCACCGGCUAACUCCGUGCCAGCAGCCGCGGUAAUACGGAGGGGUGCAAGCGUUACUCGGAAUCACUGGGCGUAAAGGACGCGUAGGCGGGUUGGAAAGUCAGGUGUGAAAUCCUACAGCUUAACUGUAGAACUGCACUUGAAACUUCUAAUCUAGAGUAUGGGAGGGGGAGAUGGAAUUAGUGGUGUAGGGGUAAAAUCCGUAGAUAUCACUAGGAAUACCUAAAGCGAAGGCGAUCUCCUGGAACAUUACUGACGCUAAGGCGUGAAAGCGUGGGGAGCAAACAGGAUUAGAUACCCGAGUAGUC